rnacentral:misc_RNA from 1 species
AGCACUUGGUUUGAGACGUUUAACCCAUCUGCUAUAUGGAUCCAAUCCCAGUGGACUAUCAGCACAAGCACUAGAUUUUAAAUUUGUGGGAUGUUCAGCAUAGGAAAGAAAGUGUUCCACAUCUAAACUCUGGGUUGUGGAGGUGCUUGUCUCUGCAUCAUCUGCUGAAUUUGCCACUCCUGAGACUACAGGAAGUUCCUGGUUAAUAUCAGGUAACUCUACGU